rnacentral:rRNA from 1 species
UACGUAGGGGGCAAGCGUUGUCCGGAAUCAUUGGGCGUAAAGAGCGUGUAGGCGGCCAGGUAGGUCCGUUGUGAAAACUCGAGGCUCAACCUCGAGACGUCGGCGGAAACCAUCUGGCUAGAGUCCGGAAGAGGAGAGUGGAAUUCCUGGUGUAGCGGUGAAAUGCGCAGAUAUCAGGAAGAACACCCGUGGCGAAGGCGGCUCUCUGGACGGUACUGACGCUGAGACGCGAAGCGUGGGAGCAAACAGG